UUAUUAAGCGUGUCAUUCGUUCUCAAAAUCGUGUUAUUGUUGAGGGAAAAAAUCUGGUGAAAAAGCACAUCAAGGCAGGCGAAGGUCAUGAAGGGGGGGUGUUUUCAGGUGAAGUUGAAGCCCCACUUCAUGCCUCAAAUGUUCAAGUUCUUGAUCCAGUCACUGGGAAACCUUGCAAGGUUGGAAUUAGAUAUUUAGAAGAUGGUAUCAAAGUGAGAGUUUCUAGAGGUCAAGGGGCAUCUGGGUCUAUAAUUCCUCGUCCUGAGAUUUUGAAGAUUAGGACAACACCAAGACCUACUGUAGCUGGUCCUAAGGAUACUCCUAUGGAUCUCGUGUUGGAGAGGACUUACGAUGCUAAAACUGGGAAGGGCAUGCCUGACCUUUGAAGAAAUCUUGUUCAAGUUAGUAGUGGAUAUCAAACAUACUAAUGGAAGUUGCAGGAACAUGAGUCGCAUAAGCUAGAUGUGUAGAACAGUGAUUUUGUGAGUUCAGCCAUCUAGUUUUAUUUUCAUUAGUGCAUUUUUGAAAGUUGAACGAAUGGAUAAAUGAGUUCUAUCCGUAGUUUGAUCAUCACUGCUAGCUUGUGUGUGGCAAGUACUGUGUUUCAGAGUCUCUCACUCUCUAGCCAAUAAAAAAUAUAGGUACUCUUUGAGAUGAUAGGCACAUAUGCUGAUCCUAAUAUUCUCGAGUAAUAGUUUUUAUGAAGUGUAUGCUGUUAGCUACUAGUACUAGCAAAUAUCAUGUGAGCUGACUUAUUAAAUAAUGCAUUUUGAGCAGCUGGUUUU
rnacentral:misc_RNA from 1 species